AGAGUUUGAUUCUGGCUCAGAACGAACGCUGGCGGCGUGGAUAAGACAUGCAAGUCGAACGGGAGAAUUGCUAGCUUGCUAAUAAUUCUCUAGUGGCGCACGGGUGAGUAACACGUGAGUAACCUGCCUCUUAGUGGGGGAUAGCCCUGGGAAACCGGGAUUAAUACCGCAUACGAUUGAAAGAUCAAAGCAGCAAUGCGCUAGGAGAUGGGCUCGCGGCCUAUUAGUUAGUUGGUGAGGUAACGGCUCACCAAGGCGAUGACGGGUAGCCGGUCUGAGAGGAUGUCCGGCCACACUGGAACUGAGACACGGUCCAGACACCUACGGGUGGCAGCAGUCGAGAAUCAUUCACAAUGGGGGCAACCCUGAUGGUGCGACGCCGCGUGGGGGAAUGAAGGUCUUCGGAUUGUAAACCCCUGUCAUGUGGGAGCAAAUUAAAAAGAUAGUACCACAAGAGGAAGAGACGGCUAACUCUGUGCCAGCAGCCGCGGUAAUACAGAGGUCUCAAGCGUUGUUCGGAAUCACUGGGCGUAAAGCGUGCGUAGGCUGUUUCGUAAGUCGUGUGUGAAAGGCAGGGGCUCAACCCCUGGAUUGCACAUGAUACUGCGAGACUAGAGUAAUGGAGGGGGAACCGGAAUUCUCGGUGUAGCAGUGAAAUGCGUAGAUAUCGAGAGGAACACUCGUGGCGAAGGCGGGUUCCUGGACAUUAACUGACGCUGAGGCACGAAGGCCAGGGGAGCGAAAGGGAUUAGAUACCCCUGUAGUCCUGGCAGUAAACGGUGCACGCUUGGUGUGCGGGGAAUCGACCCCCUGCGUGCCGGAGCUAACGCGUUAAGCGUGCCGCCUGGGGAGUACGGUCGCAAGAUUAAAACUCAAAGAAAUUGACGGGGACCCGCACAAGCGGUGGAGUAUGUGGCUUAAUUCGAUGCAACGCGAAGAACCUUACCUGGGCUUGACAUGUAAUGAACAACAUGUGAAAGCAUGCGACUCUUCGGAGGCGUUACACAGGUGCUGCAUGGCCGUCGUCAGCUCGUGUCGUGAGAUGUUUGGUUAAGUCCAGCAACGAGCGCAACCCCUGUUGCCAGUUACCAUCGAGUAAUGUCGGGGACUCUGGCGAGACUGCCCAGAUCAACUGGGAGGAAGGUGGGGACGACGUCAGGUCAGUAUGGCCCUUAUGCCCAGGGCUGCACACGUACUACAAUGCCCAGUACAGAGGGGGCCGAAGCCGCGAGGCGGAGGAAAUCCUGAAAACUGGGCCCAGUUCGGACUGUAGGCUGCAACCCGCCUACACGAAGCCGGAAUCGCUAGUAAUGGCGCAUCAGCUACGGCGCCGUGAAUACGUUCCCGGGUCUUGU
rnacentral:rRNA from 1 species